CGGCAAGGGGAGCAGAUAGAUGCUCAGGAGCGAAAGACGCAGAGAAUUGGAUCUGGCGCCUCCUAACGCAGCCCGCACAGGAGCGAAGGAGAGUGUGACGAUCCCCCUGAUGCGGCUGAGAUGUUCUGAAAUGAAGACGUUGGCUCUCAUCCCCAGCCUGAAGAGAGAAAAUUCUGAGAUGGCUCCCUUACAGAUUGAGAGCAGGCACUGGGUAGGAACACAGCCAAGAACGAUUGCAGGAUGGGUCCUUCCAGGACACUGACGUCUCAGCUUGCGCACUGUGAGUCCCUGGACGAGUUACUCCACCUCUCUGAACCUCCUCCUCACUUGCAUAAUGGGAAAAAUAAUGGACAUAGGAAGAUGAAACAAGACCUUGGAGACCACAUUUACCAUCUUAUUUUCCUUGUUCCUUUUUCUUUUCUUUUUUUGUUUUUGUUUGUUUGUUUUUUGGAGACAGGGUCUCACUCUGUCACCC
rnacentral:lncRNA from 1 species